UAACGACGUGAGCAACCUAGCCCUUGUAGAGAGGAAUAACACACGGAAACGUAGUGCUAAUACCACAUGAAGCAUUUUUGUUUGCAUAACAGAGAUGUUAAAGAAGCAAUUCGCACAAGGAUGGGCUCGCGUCUGAUUAGAUAGUUGGUGAGGUAACGGCUCACCAAGUCGACGAUCAGUAGCCGGACUGAGAGGUUGAACGGCCACAUUGGAACUGAGAUACGGUCCAGACUCCUACGGGAGGCAGCAGUGGGGAAUAUUGGGCAAUGGGCGAAAGCCUGAACCCCCAGCGACGCCGCGUGAGGGAAGAAGGUCUUCGGAUUGUAAACCUUUGUAGACAGGGAAGAAGCAAGUGACGGUACCUGUAAAGUAAGCCACGGCUAACUACGUGCCAGCAGCAGC
rnacentral:rRNA from 1 species